AGUCUCGUUACGGUGGGCGGAGUCCCGUUGUGGUGGGCGGAGUCUCGUUAUGGUGGGCGGAGCCCCGCGGGCGGUCGGGCGGCUGCAGCGGCGGCGCUGCCGCCAUGAGCGUGGCGCUGCGAAAUGCGCAGCGCGCCGUGCCCGUGCGCCGGGCUCCGCUUCGCCGCGCCGUGUGUGUCUUGCGCGCCGCCCUGGGCGCCUCCCGCUUCGACGUAGGGCUAGUCUGCGCCAGCAAUGCGUUGAUGCAGCGACUGAACGGCGUCUACCGACACUGCCCGGAGCCCACCGACGUCCUCUCUUUCCCGUUCCACCAAGUGGAGACUGGGGAACUGCCGCGGCCGUGCUGCCGCGGCGAGUACAACCUGGGAGACAUCUUCCUGGGAGUGGAAUACAUCCACCAGCAGUGCCGCGAAACCGGGGAGGACUUUGACGAUGUCCUGACGGUGACGGCGGCCCACGGAUUGUGCCAUCUGCUCGGCUACCGGCACGACACGAAACCCGAGUGGGAACAGAUACCUUUUAUAUGAUGUAAACCCCCCUGAAGGGUUCAACCUUCGCAGAGAUGUCUACAUUCGCAUUGCUUCCCUUCUAAAGACCCUGCGGAAAACUGAAAACUGGGUGUUGGUUCUGCCUCCCUGGGGACGUCUUUAUCACUGGCAGAGCCCCGAUAUCCUCCAGGUCCGGAUUGCUUGGUCCGAAUUCUUUGAUAUCCCAAGCCUCAACAAGAACAUCCCUGUCAUCGAAUAUGAGCAGUUCCUUGCAGAGUCAGGUGGGCCCUUUAUUGAACAGGUUUAUGUGCUACAAGGCUACGCAGAAGGAUGGAAAGAAGGAACAUGGGAA